GGAACUCCAUGUGUAGCGGUGAAAUGCGUAGAUAUAUGGAAGAACACCAGUGGCGAAGGCGGCUGUCUGGUCUGUAACUGACGCUGAGGCUCGAAAGUAUGGGUAGCAAACAGGAUUAGAUACCCUGGUAGUCCAUACCGUAAACGAUGAAUGCUAAGUGUUGGAGGGUUUCCGCCCUUCAGUGCUGCAGCUAACGCAUUAAGCAUUCCGCCUGGGGAGUACGGCCGCAAGGCUGAAACUCAAAGGAAUUGACGGGGGCCCGCACAAGCGGUGGAGCAUGUGGUUUAAUUCGAAGCUACGCGAAGAACCUUACCAGGUCUUGACAUACUAUGCAAAUCUAAGAGAUUAGACGUUCCCUUCGGGGACAUGGAUACAGGUGGUGCAUGGUUGUCGUCAGCUCGUGUCGUGAGAUGUUGGGUUAAGUCCCCGCAACGAGCGCAACCCUUAUUAUCAGUUUGCCAGCAUUAAGUUGGGCACUCUGGUGAGACUGCCGGUGACAAA
rnacentral:rRNA from 1 species